rnacentral:rRNA from 3 species
UAAUUGAAGAGUUUGAUCAUGGCUCAGAUUGAACGCUGGCGGCAGGCCUAACACAUGCAAGUCGAGCGGC